UCCCCAUAAUUCACUAUUCAUCUAAGUUUUUCUUGGAAGGGCAUUUGGCAUGCUGUAAUUGGUAGAGAAAAACUAUUUUUUUAAUUAAUUGAUGGUUGCUCUUCUAACCCUAGAUCUCCAACUCUCCUUCUCCGCCUUCAUUAUCCACCUCUCCAAUGGCCUCCAUCUCCGGCUUCUACUGCUCCUCCUCCUCCUCUUCUUCCCCUGCCGCUGCUCUCAAGCUCACUGAUGAGUUCUUUGAUUCGAUGGAACCCCAGCAUCAGAAGGUUUUUCUUUUUGCAUAUGAGGAGCGAUUGUGAACCCUGAUGAGGUGCGGAUCUAUAUUUGCAUUCUCCGGCAACGAGAACUUUCUUAUGAACUUGCCAGCCCUUCUCUCCAUCCGCAGAGAUUUGGGGGAAAGGAAAAGGAAAAAAAAAAAAGUAGAUAAAAGAAAUCAAUUCUUUGUGGUUGUUUCUGUUCUGGUCCACCAAAUGUGGAAUCCCAACAAGUCCUUGAACGCCAUCCCUCAUCUUCUCCAUCUCUCACUGCUCAUCAAUCUCCAAGUUUCUGCUGAAGUUCAUGGAAAGCCUGCUAAUGAGAUUGUGGACAUCAUAAAUCAGAAUAGAACAUCAAACAAGCUACCAAAAUUGUAUGAUAGUGCAGGACUAGGCUGCAUGGCUUUGCAAUAUAUAUCUGAAUGCACAGUUGGAGAAUGGGUUGCUUCAUGUUCCCAAAGAGCAAGCUCAAAAUGCACAAUCGAAGAUGUUUUCUGGCCCAAUGAAGAAAAAUCUUUCAAUGCUAAUACCCCAGGUGACUAUAUAUGCCCAUGACUCUUUGAAGCAGCUCUUUGAAGCCACCAAUGAAGCUUAAGGACACGUGCUGGAAGGAAUCAACACAUUAGUAGGAAGAAAUCAGUCAAGACACAUGCUGGAGGGAAUCAACACGUUAGUAGGAAGAAAUUAGUCAGGGACUUUUGGAUAAACAUGGUAGUACUCUUUUGAUAAGAAAUUAGUUAGAUAUCUUUGAAAAUUUAGUUCUUUUGAUUUAUUUAAUUGAUUUUAAUUUUAUUCCCCAUUUGAAUUCAUUUGAUAGUGCCCUACUUUUGGAUAAACAUUGCCCACAAUUGUUGACUAUGUUGUGUACAAUAUAUAAUUUGUUGUGAUCCUUCUGACAUUGCAAUCCUUUUAACUUCUUUACAUGUGA